rnacentral:rRNA from 1 species
GACGAACGCUGGCGGCGUGCUUAACACAUGCAAGUCGAACGGAAAGGCCCCUUUGGGGGUACUCGAGUGGCGGACGGGUGAGUAACACGUGCGUAACCUGCCCUUGACUUCGGGAUAACUUCAGGAAACUGGGGCUAAUACCGGAUAGGAAUCCUUGCUGCAUGGUGGGGGUUGGAAAGCUUCGGCGGUUUUGGAUGGACUCGCGGCUUAUCAGCUUGUUGGUGGGGUAGUGGCUUACCAAGGCUUUUACGGGUAGCCGGCCUGAGAGGCCGACCGGCCACAUUGGGACUGAGAGACGGCCCAGACUCCUACGGGAGGCAGCAGUGGGGAAUAUUGAACAAGGGGCGGAAGCCGGAUGCAGCAACGCCGCGUGCGGGAUGACGGCCUUCGGGUGGAAAAACGCUUUCAGCAGGGGCGAAGCUUGUGGUGACGGUACCUGCAGAAGAAGCACCGGCUAACUACGUG